UAUUCUUCACAAAAAAUGUCCCGUUAUUGUAUUGGCUCAACAACAGUUACAACGACUUCUAGAUGAAACGGAUAAAUUACUUUGUGAUAAUAGUCAUUGUUGCAGAUCUAUAUACGAUGUUUUUAAGUUAUUUAAAGAAGUAAUAUGGAAUCAACAUAAAUGUAACUGUGCUCUUACAUUUAUAAUCCUACUAACGUUUAUCAUAGGCCUUAUACUCGGCGCAGCUUCAUGUGGAACUAGCCUGCGGAAGUUUAAUAGCCCUAUUCUUUCGUGUAUUGAUAAUUUAUUCAUAUCAGAUAAAU
rnacentral:misc_RNA from 1 species